UUAAUUGAGAGUUUGAUCCUGGCUCAGGAUGAACGCUGGCGGCGUGCUUAACACAUGCAAGUCGAACGGACUGCGAGGAGCUUGCUCCUCAAAGUUAGUGGCGGACGGGUGAGUAACGCGUGGGUAACCUGCCCUAUGCAGGGGGAUAACGUUUGGAAACGAACGCUAAUACCGCAUAAUCUAGUUGGUUCGCAUGAACUGACUAGCAAAGAUUUAUCGGCAUAGGAUGGACCCGCGUUAGAUUAGCUAGUUGGUGAGAUAACAGCCCACCAAGGCAACGAUCUAUAGCCGGCCUGAGAGGGUGAACGGCCACACUGGGACUGAGACACGGCCCAGACUCCUACGGGAGGCAGCAGUGGGGAAUAUUGCACAAUGGGCGCAAGCCUGAUGCAGCGACGCCGCGU
rnacentral:rRNA from 1 species